GGGCCCUGGUGUGCAAGAACUUCAAGAGCCCAAGACUCGAAACGGUUCAGGGCAUGAAUAUAACUGGAAACUGGGUGCAGAAAUGGCAAUUUGGCCAAUGUGCUGUCUGGAUGUCAGGAAAAUUGUUGAGGAAUCAAAAAGGAAAAUUUUAAUGCAAAGCCUAGAAUCGGUGGUUCCGCUCCGCCGGGCAACCAUCUCAGCUGCAUCCUGCUCUCUCAUUUGUGGCGAUUCUAGGUGUCGACAGUAUUCCCGUUCAUCGUCAAGCUUCCAAUUCCAAUUAUGAUUCCAGUCACAAAGCAAACACUACCCAAACACUCUCUUUCUCACUUGCCUGCUCUGAACAAUUUCUUCUGUAGUAUCCUCGCCAUCGAUGUGCACCAGAUUCGACACAUAGGAGGUUGGUGGGUGGGCAUUUGCUAAAAUUCGAUACUAUCGUGGCCUUUGGAACACGAACUUGGAUUUGUGUGAAUUUCGAGAAAUAUUAAUACAAUACUGUAUAAAAUGUUAUAAACAUUUAGAUGAUUUCGAAUUCUGAAGAUGCAGCCUUUGAUGUUCUCUAACCGCGCUUGAUUUUUGGGUACUUAAGAACAUUAGUGGCUGCAUAUUAGUUGGGCUUAGGUGGUGGAAUGAAGCUAAUGAGCAGGGUGAUAGCAUGUGGAAGUUUGAAUGCCUUGACCAGGAGGGUUGUGCGGCCCGUAGGCGGGACUCUAUCUGAUCGGCCCUCCAGAUAAGUCAUCAUACUCUACAUUAUCUCAGCCCGGUCAAACUGCAUCAUCUCCUAAGCUCGGGACUGACUACUACCUCGUCAAACCGGCCCCCCUCAACCCAGUGUACUAGGGAGCUGCAUACUCUCCGAGCACGGCUGACGGUACCCACAUACUAUCUGAGAUAUGUGGUUGCACUCUAUCUGUAUCUAGCAACGGUACUGUGCUCUGUAAUCUGUAUCUGUCUGUGUAUCUUUCCUCAGGGAUCUGAUACUAUAUACAUAUAUAUAUAUAUAUAUAUAUAUAUAUAUAUAUAUACAUACUCUUUUACUGUUUUCAUCAUGUUUCCAAAAUUACCGUAAUUCCCUCUUUCUGUACUGUAAAUGCUGUAAUCUCUGUAUAUAUAACAUUCUAUAUAAAACUGUGAUACACAUACUGAUCUGAAUAAAUAUGCAUACAUGUAUAUGUAUAUAUAUAAAUAUCUGUUCAUG